CGCGAAUAGCUCAUUACAACAGCUAAAAUCUACUUGAUCUUGACACAAUCCUACUUGGAUAACUGUGGUAAUUCUAGAGCUAAUACAUGCAUUAAAGCUCUGACCUUAGGGGAAGAGUGCAUUUAUUAGAACAAAACCAAGCGGCUUCGGCUGUUUUCGGUUGACUCAUAGUAACUGAGCUGAUCGCAUGGUCUUGCACCGGCGACGUGUCUUUCGAGUAUCUGCCGUAUCAACUUUCGAUGGUAGUGUAUCUGACUACCAUGGUGAUCACGCGUAACGGAGAAUAAGGGUUCGACUCCGGAGAGUUCGCCUGAGAAAUCGCGAACACAUCUAAGGAAGGCAGCAGGCGCGAAAAUUACCCACUCUCAGCACGAGGAGGUAGUGACGAAAAAUAACGAGACCGUUCUCUUAUGAGGCCGGUCAUCGGAAUGGGUACAAUUUAAACCCUUUAACGAGUAUCUAUGAGAGGGCAAGUCUGGUGCCAGCAGCCGCGGUAAUUCCAGCU
rnacentral:rRNA from 1 species